ensembl:lncRNA
GUGCCUUUAUAAGCAGAUGCACACAAGAGAGCUUGUCCUCUCUCUCGCCCUCCAUCCCCUUCUCUCCCUCUUGUGAGGACAGGACAGGACAGAGAAGAUGACUCUCUGCAAACCAGAAGAGUGUUCUCACCAGAACCGGACCAUACUGGCACCCUGAUCGUGGACUUCUCAGCUUCCAGAACUGGAAGGUCGACGAGCUCUUCCUCCCUUCCCUGGAAGAAUCGCAAGCUCCCGACCAUGCGCAGGGGAAAACCACACUUCCACGGUCCCAGCCCCUCUCCCAGAAUAUCCAGCUGCCUGUGAAACCCACAGAGAAGAGUUCCCCAGCCUGAGUCAAAAGAGAAACUUCGCGGAGGGGAGAGGCCAGAGGCUGAACCCAAAGGGGCGAGGUUUCAGGACUCAGUUAUUCCCUCCUGCGUCCAGAGGCUGCGCUCCCAGCCGCCAG